rnacentral:rRNA from 1 species
GAUGAACGCUGGCGGCGUGCUUAACACAUGCAAGUCGAACGGAAAGGCUCCUGCUUGCAGGGGUACUCGAGUGGCGAACGGGUGAGUAACACGUGGGUGAUCUGCCCUGCACUUCGGGAUAAGCCUGGGAAACUGGGUCUAAUACCGGAUAGGACCACAUUUUGGAUGGUGUGGUGGAAAGUUUUUCGGUGUGGGAUGAGCUCGCGGCCUAUCAGCUUGUUGGUGGGGUAAUGGCCUACCAAGGCGUCGACGGGUAGCCGGCCUGAGAGGGUGUACGGCACAUUGGGACUGAGAUACGGCCCAGACUCCUACGGGAGGCAGCAGUGGGGAAUAUUGCACAAUGGGCGCAAGCCUGAUGCAGCGACGCCGCGUGGGGGAUGACGGCCUUCGGGUUGUAAACUCCUUUCGCUAGGGACGAAGCGCAAGUGACGGUACCUGGAGAAGAAGCACCGGCUAACUACGUG